ACUGGCUGACGAGUCCCAAAUAGGACGAAGUGCGCAUCCUAGAU
rnacentral:hammerhead_ribozyme from 1 species